AUAUAUUUAUCUUACCUCCUAUACAUUUCCAGGAAUAUGAUUGGUUAAAAGCGUCCGCGUGCAAACCGUGUAUAUUUGAUAUUAGGUUAGUAGGGAGGCGGGGCUUAUCUCAUACACGGUUAGUAGUGGAGUUACGUCCCUUUAUAUUCCUUAUUAGGUAAGAAGGUGGCGGGACUUAUUUCAUACACGGUUAGUAAUGGUGUUAUGUCCCUUUGUAAAAAACAAAACGGUUCUGAGAAAAAAUCUUAAAAGUUCCAACAGACGAAGAAAUUGAUGAUUAAGAUUGAAACAAAUUCAUAAAACACAUUUAAACCUUACAAGUCGUUACUGUUGGCAUCUGUUUUUGUAGGAUCAAUGGAAGUAUUUUCUUAGCGCUAACAGUAUUGAAGACUUGCUCGUUUUGAGAAUCACUAGUCUUAAUUUCACACGUUAAGAUAGUCGGUAAGAUAAAUUCGUUACAUAGUGUGCUAGUGACGUAAUACGGUAUAUAUGGGGUCAGUAAAUUCCAUAUGGGGAUUCGAGCUUCGCUCUCACCCCAUAUGGAAUUUACUGACCCCAUAUAUACCGUAUUAGGUCACUAGCACACUAUGUAACUAAUAGCAUUGUUUGUAUAUGCCUUCAACCCCCAGGGGUAUAAAUGUGCAUUUCAUAAAUAAAUUUAUCUUACCUCCUAUACAUUUCCAGGAAUAUGAUUGGUUAAAAGCGUCCGCGUGCAAACCGUGUAUAUUUGAUAUUAGGUCAGUAGGGAGGCGGGGUUUAUCUCAUACACGGUUAGUAGUGGAGUUACGUCCCUUUAUAUUCCAUAUUAGGUAAGAAGGGGGCGGGGCUUAUUUCAUACACGGUUAGUAAUGGUGUUAUGUCCCUUUAUAAAAACAAAACGGUACUGAGAAAAAAAGUUAAAAGUUCCAACAGACGAAGAAAUUGAUGAUUAAGAUUGAAAUAAAUUCAUAAAACACAUUUAAAC
rnacentral:lncRNA from 1 species